AUGUGGCUCCAGUCUGUUCUGUGUUUACAUUUUGCUGCAGCAGCCUUUACGUCGGCCUGUGGACGGACUCUAGAGGGAAGAAUCUUCAUGGAGUUUCACCUUUUUAGUCGAGUGGAAGGAAAAGUUAAGCUGAAGUCGGCCUCCUCUCGAUGCCUUUCUGCUGCUCGUACGCCCGUGUGCUCCAUCGCCGGACGACCCGGUGGACCAAAGAGGUCCUGUUGCAGCGUCAGCACGAAGGAGCCUCGCUCGCUCAGCAGAAACGAGCGGCCGCGUUGGAGCGCGAGGAGCACAACCCGGCAACAGGGAGGAGCCUCUCCACCUCCCGUAAACGGGCCCGGUCCCGCCCGGCGUCUCGCUGACCCGGUCCAAAAACGAACGAUAAGGCGAGGGCACGUGUCGCCGUCGGCGACGUGGCGUCUGAUGCCAACAAACCGCAGCACCGCCAGCGUAAAAGACACCGAGCGUUGGUGUCAUUCUCAACAGGCAGCAACACACAGAUAACAAGCGCUGGUGCUGCCGCAAAGAUGACGCCUUGAGCAGACGUGCUCAGUGGAAGCCUGCUAUUAAGCUCUGAGUCACGCUCAGGAUCUUUCUUCACUUUCACAACAUCUUUCAGCGGGUCCCUACUAAUAAUUCUGCGAGCACAGCGGUUCAAUUGGGUCUCACUUUGUUUACCUCAAUGAAUAAUCGACCCAUUUAUAAAGCUGCUGGUCAUCAACCAGUAAACCUGGUGAGCUACUGGUCUGUAGUGGUGUAUGAACAGGUGCGGGGGGUGCGUUGGGGUCGAUGGGCUCGUUCAGGCUGAGGCAGAAUGAAGGACGGAGGCUGUGUUUGCUUUCCCCUCACUCAGCUCCCUGGAAGCGACGCCACGCUGCAAUUAUGGCGACGGGGAGAAUUCUUCUAGAGGAAGUCCAGUUACACACAAACACACAACGAGCUCCCCCACACUCUGCAGCUGAUUGCGACAAUAAGGACGCUAUCAGAGCAAUCAGCCAGACAGACAGCGCUAAUGCAGGCAGGUGUGCUUGAAUACUGAUACGCUGCAGACCGGGGUUCUACUCGGCUUUCCGCUGCGCGAGACACGCGUUGAUGAUCUUUUUUUAUCUGCUU
rnacentral:lncRNA from 1 species